AAAUAUGAAAAAAUUGAAAAACAAAUACGGCGAGGGUAAUAACCUUGGCUAUGGGAUCCUCUGAUCACGAAUCGGUCAUUUUUUUGCAAAAAAAAAUAUAAACUGAGAAGUCACGGAUCAACGGCGAAAUAUCAAAAAUGGUUCUGUGAUCCGGAAUGAUCAACAAUUGUCUGAAAAUGAUGUGUGCAAUAUUUAAGCUUUCUAACACAGCAGUAAUUCAUAUCAGAAAUUCAUUUUCGGUACCAAGUGGUGACCUCAUCGAAAUAUACGUAUAUAUACAAAAAAGGAUGAUAAUGGGAUUUAAGUGACACAAUCAUAACCAGUAAGGCGAAUGCUGCAAGAGCUUUCAAGUUUUAGAGGUACAGGAUCCCCUAGGGGCAUUUUAGUAUAUGCAAAUGCCAUUUUAUACGGAAUGUAUGAACAUUUUCCUAUUCAUACAUGAAAUAUACGAAGUAAAGUAUAUAUCUAUCCGCAUCAAAAUCUAUGAAAAUUCGUACAUUUCAUUCGCAACCAUUCGCGAAUGCCGCAUACGUCUUGCGAGAUGCGACAAACUGUCGUGUGACAUUUGUACAUACACAUUGCUGUGUUCAGUUUGUCGUGGCAGUUUCAAACACAGUGUCAUUGUUCUCAACUGAAUUUGAAAAACUGUUGAAAAAAAAAAUACAAGAUUAUUUGUUGAAUAUUAUUUUAGAAGCCGUAUGCGAUUCGAAAAGUGAGAUUUUAGAAAUAAAUUCAGAUAAUAUAAAUAUAAAAGAAAUUGAAAGUUACGUCAAUGAAAAUAAAAACCUUUCACAAGGCACCGUUUACAGUGAUUAUAUUACGAGUGGCAAAGAUUUAUUUACCAUUUUAGAAAAAUUUCACUCAAUAUUACCAAAAAAAUAUCAAUUCGGCUUGAAUCUCUGUCACCUAAUCUGUCACUUUGACUUUU